GGGUCCAGCGGCUGGAAGAG
rnacentral:snRNA from 1 species